CCCAAUUCCAUUUCUCUUCUCCUGAACUAGAUUUUGUUUCGUUACAAUCUCAUCAGACAAGAUCUUUAUCCCUUUAUAUGUCCAGAUCUCAACUCUAUAACAAACAAAGAUUCAAACUUUACACACAAACAAAAAAAUUAAAACUUUACAAAAAACAAAGAUUUGUUCCUGUCCUUUGAAGACACAAAGAAGAACAACACUUCAUCUUCAUCUUCUACAAAGAUCUUUUUACAGCGAAUCUGUUCUUGUCCUUUGAGUGAAUAUGGAUUUUUGGAUUUGGGUUGAUGCCACCCAUUUUCUCAUAAAUCAAAAACAAUGAUUUCAGAUUUGAAUUUGGGUUUAUGAUACCAUGAACCUCUUGGAGUUGGAUUCGAAUUUCAGAUUCGGAUUCGGAUUCAAAUUUCAGAUUUUGGUUUGUUUUGAUUUGGGAUAGAUGUGAGAGAAGAGAGAUGUGUUGGUGUGUGAUGGUUUUUUAAGUAUGAGUUUUAUCCCUAGGUUGAUGAUGGGAGAAAUUUGUGAUGUUGUUACCUUUUUGUGCUAAGGAAGAAGAGAUGAACACGAAUGUUGUUGUUAAUUUUUCCAGGGGUUCAGAGAGUUUGCUGCCAAGGAUGAAGAGAGGAAUAUGAGUAGUGUAUUUAUUUUUAAUUUUUGAUUUAUUUUUUAAUUGUUAACUUAUAUAAAUGUGUUUUUUUAAUUAAUAAAAUAUGAUUUGCUGACGUGUGUACAAGUGUUUUUCCACUUGUGAUUUGCCACCUAAGUACUUUUUUGGACACCUCAUAAAAAAAUACGACACAUCAGCUUUUUUGGAAGCUAAAAUGGG
rnacentral:lncRNA from 1 species